CAGCCUUGGGAUGCACCUGUAAUUUUGGACCAGAUCUAUCAGAAAUACAAUCAUAACUACAAGGAGGUCCUUCGUUGGUCAAAUGCACAGCUCUCCAGGGCGACAGCAUGCUGAUGGUCAUCCGAACGUCUGGAGAUCAAUGUCAAGAAAGUUCUAGUAACGAUCAACAAACCCCUGCUUUCUUUUUCUCAUUAUAAAAAAUGCUAAGAGGGCAUGCUUAAACGUUAAUUAAGC
rnacentral:lncRNA from 1 species